rnacentral:rRNA from 1 species
UAGGGAAUCUUCGGGAAUGGGGGGAACCCUGACCGAGCAACGCCGCGUGAGUGAAGAAGGUUUUCGGAUCGUAAAGCUCUGUUGUUAAGGAAGAACGAGUGUGAGAAUGGAAAGUUCAUACUGUGACGGUACUUAACCAGAAAGGGACGGCUAACUACGUGCCAGCAGCCGCGGUAAUACGUAGGUCCCGAGCGUUGUCCGGAUUUAUUGGGCGUAAAGCGAGCGCAGGCGGUUAGAUAAGUCUGAAGUUAAAGGCAGUGGCUCAACCAUUGUAGGCUUUGGAAACUGUUUAACUUGAGUGCAGAAGGGGAGAGUGGAAUUCCAUGUGUAGCGGUGAAAUGCGUAGAUAUAUGGAGGAACACCGGUGGCGAAAGCGGCUCUCUGGUCUGUAACUGACGCUGAGGCUCGAAAGCGUGGGGAGCGAACAGG